rnacentral:misc_RNA from 1 species
GAUGAAGAACGCAGCGAAAUGCGAUAAGUAAUGUGAAUUGCAGAACUCAGUGAAUCAUCGAGUCUUUGAACGCACAUUGCGCCCCCUGGUAUUCCGGGGGGCAUGCCUGUCCGAGCGUCAUUGCUGCCCUCAAGCACGGCUUGUGUGUUGGGCCGUCGUCCCCCUCCUAGGGGACGGGCCCGAAAGGCAGCGGCGGCACCGCGUCCGGUCCUCGAGCGUAUGGGGCUUCGUCACCCGCUCCGUAGGCCCGGCCGGCGCUUGCCGACGACCAUCAAUCUCUUUCUCCAGGUUGACCUCGGAUCAGGUAGGGAUACCCGCUGAACUUAAGCAUAUCAAUAAGCGGAGGA